rnacentral:rRNA from 1 species
AAUCAACGCUGGCGGCGUGCCUAACACAUGCAAGUCGAACGCGAAAGCCCCGCAAGGGGUAAGUAGAGUGGCAAACGGGUGAGUAACACGUGGGUGACCUGCCUUCGAGUGGGGGAUAACGUCCCGAAAGGGACGCUAAUACCGCAUGACAUCCUGCUUUUGAAAAAGCGGAGAUCAAAGCUGGGGAUCGCAAGACCUAGCGCUUGAAGAGGGGCCCGCGCCUGAUUAGCUAGUUGGUGAGGUAACGGCUCACCAAGGCGACGAUCAGUAUCCGGCCUGAGAGGGCGGACGGACACACUGGGACUGAGACACGGCCCAGACUCCUACGGGAGGCAGCAGUGGGGAAUUGUUCGCAAUGGGCGCAAGCCUGACGACGCAACGCCGCGUGGAGGACGAAGAGCUUCGGGUCGUAAACUCCUGUCGAGCGGGACGAACGCUUCGCGGAUGAAUAAGCCGCGGAAUUGACGGUACCGCUAAAGGAAGCCCCGGCUAACUCCGUG